rnacentral:lncRNA from 1 species
GCAUUUCAUUCGACAAGAGGCUUUUCAACAGGACCUUUUACAGCGUCAGGUUGAGUUUCAGAGCCAGAUGAUGGCUCAGUUUGAGAGGCAGAGGGCUAUGCUUCAAGCCCUGAUUGAGCAUGGAGGUAGGUUAGAGGCUUCUAUGGCUAAUGACAUGUUCGAUGAUAUUUUUGCUACAGACUUUGCACCUGCCUGUCCACAGAGCC